GUGAUCUCGCUUGAUUUCGUAAUUUUAUAUUGCCUUUCAAUCCUUGAUAUUUUUCUCAAUUUAUUAUUUCCAAAUGGGCUUUGAGAAAUUGUAAUUAAUACAGAAUUGGGAAAGGUAAAAAAUUCUAGUGCUGCGAACUUUGGUUAUACAGAGGGAUAAAGCUCGACUCGACUAUUGAUGAUAACUUAUAGCAUCAUUUAUACAUCAAGUCAUUGAGUUAAGUUGCACGCACCUUCAGCUUCCUUAAAGUCGGAUAAAUCAUGUGGAUUGUUGUCUCCAAAGUAUUUAGCAAACCGCACAAUUUCAUUGAGGUAAUUUAAUGUACCAAUUAUGUCGUCAAAAAUUGAACGCUCACAGGGAUGUACAAAUUCGUCCACUACAUUUGAGAC